rnacentral:lncRNA from 1 species
AACCUUCAGUUCACACUUCACUCUUAAUUUUUACCUCCACUUAGAUUUGAUUCAUCAUGCUCUAAACUUCACAUCCAUUCAUUCAAUCUUCAUAGUUCAGAAUUCAGUUCUUCUUCCAUCACCUCACACUCCACAAUACACAAACUCUCCCCCCUCAAAUUCUCUCAAGCUCUCUCUGUCACACUCGCACAACACAAGCUCUCUCUGUCCCUUGGAGCACCCUUUGGCCCAUUAUUGCACCCUUCCUCAGCUCUGCACCCCUUGUUUCCUUGCUGAGAUUUGUUCUGGGCUUGUUGUGUGAGCCUGCAUGUUUUUUCUUUCUGCACCAUGGACCUUGCUGAAUAAACCCCCAUGUUUUGUUGUUUUAGGAUUUCUUUGUGAAUUCUUUUUUGCCAUGAUUUUCUACACAUUAUUUUAUUUGUUGUUAGUGCAUUUUAAUACAAAUGAUAGAAAUAAAAAUGGUUAGUUUUAAUUAGGAUUAAUUGAGUUAACUAAUUCUUAACUGUUUUUGAGAAAUACCAAAAAAUAUUAAUCUAGUUAUAAUUAGGUUAGGUUUUAAUUCACAUGAUUAAUUGUUAAUUACAUGAUUUGACUUGAUUUUAAUUCUUUCAUGUUUUAGACUUUAAUUCUCUUGAUUCAAAAUUUUAAGUAGUAUAAUUAACCUUGAUCAUAAUCUUUUUAGAUUUAAUUCAACUUUUAAUCAAAUUAGGGUUCUGUUUAGAUUUUGGUGUAUUUUUUUAGAAUUUGUAACUUUAGCCAAUGACUUGUUCCCAUAGUUCUAGGUUAAUCUUUGGAAUUAUAUUAGAUAGUUUAAUUUGAUUGAUCCUUAGGGUUUAAGUCUUUAUCUCUGUAUGCAUUAAAUUCUCAACUGUUUUCUCCCUGAUGAUUCAAUUUAUCAAAGUUCACUUUGAUAAACUAAAUUCUUUGACUAUGCUCAAUUCCCCAAUCCUAUUCAAGUGAUCAAAAGACCCUUGAUCACUUGAUAGGAAAAGUCCCUUGUGUUCAAGUUGUAUUAGAUAUUGGAUAUCAAGAGUUAUACAAGACUUCAAGGUUCAAAGAUCAAGAUUCAAGACUUCAUUCAAUUCAAAUCAAUACAAGAUAGACUAGACUACUGUUCAAGCACAAUAAAGGUGUAUUCAUCACUUGUCAAUCAUGAUCCAAGUUGUGUGCCAUGAGCCUUAAGCAAUAGAAAAGGAGUGAGAGUGGAUAAUUGUUAUCCUCAUUCUGAAUAUCUUUUGGUACGGGACGAAUGACCCAGUUGCUCAUUGUAUUCACCUCUAUUCAUAGACUUUAGCACAAUUUGAUUCAAGUGAUUGUCAAGUCUCUUCUUUCUUCAAAGACAACCUUUCAUCAUAGGAGCUGCAAGGAAAUUUAACUUCAACACUCGUCAGUUAUGAUGUAAAUUGCACGUCAUGAGCCUUAAGUAAUAGAGAAGGGGUGAGAGUGGAGAAUUCUUAUCCUCAUUUUGAAUAUCUUUGGGUAUGGGAUGAAUGACCUAGUUGCUCAGUGUAUUCAUCUUUAUUUAUAUACUUUAGUGCAAUUUAAAUUGAAUAAUUGAUAAGUCUUUCUACACAGAUGUGGGAUGUCGACUGAAGAUCAUACUUCAACCUUCUAUGGUUUUCUUCCCUUUCCUUUUAUUCUCUCUAAGUAAAACUAAAACCAUUUCGCCAAUAAACUCAAAAAUAAUUAAUGAUA